GGACCCAGCAGCUUGAGAAGCAAGGAAGUCACUGCAGUCACGCCAGCUCCUUGGCUCGGACUUGGACGGAGCCCACAAUUCCCUUGCUGCCUCUACAGCAGGAAAAAGUUCUCGGCAGCCAGGCCCCAGCCCAAGCAUCCAGAGAAAGAGUUGGCCACAGCCCCGUUUAACGCCUUAAAAGCUAUCAAGUAUGGAAAAAACUCAGGAUGGAAGACCAUGGACCACAGCCACUGAGAAAGGCCACCCUGGCGUGUGCACGCCUGCGUGUACUUAGACCCCUCGCUGUCCUCCCUCUCUGGUUACUCAGAGCUCCUCGCGUCUGCAGUGAUGACAGUGAAUUAUUUAUGGAAUACCAUACUGCAUGCAGUCUCCCAUGAUCACACAGAUGGUUGUUGCCCUGGGGAGUUUCUGGCCUAAGUCAUUUGGACAGAAUGGCUUAUUUCAUCAAAUUUAAGAAGCCAUCAACGUUGGAGCCAGAAGAUGUCACGGUGGUUGAGGCAUUGGACUCCCACAUGGCUGACCAUGGUUCGAGUU